GAGAGAGCUUAUUAUCUUUGGUUGGUUGCAGGACCAAAGAUAGUGCGAACUAACGAAGUUUAUGGACUUUUUCAGCUGAAAGUACAUUAACUGAGGAGGAUGUUUCCAUUUAUUUCAAAAGCAGUUGGAGUGGAUACAUCUGUUUUGGAGCUUCUGAGACCAUCUGCUAGAUAUACAGUGUCAAAAGAAGAUGCUGGAGAUUUUAGUGACCGUGAAAAAGGUGGAUAUACCCUGAUCAAAGAUUCAGAUGACCACCCUCUAGGAUUGCAUGAUAAUCCGCUUCUGUGUUUUGGAUGUGGGAUUGGAUGGUUCUCUGGAUACAUCUGUUUUGGAGCUUAAAGACAAUCGGAAAUGAUGUUCUCACUAGAGAUAUCAGUUUAUGCUUGCGAGGGGUUUGGCAUCAACAUGUGUACCUGCUAGAUUACAUGGAUUUCCUACAUUGAGUUUUUUGAUGCCCAAGCUUUCAAAGGAUAUAAAUCUUAGUUGCGGCUAUUUCAUCAGAAAAGGUGGAGAACAAAGCCGCUAAGAUUUGUAAGUUCCAUGUAUUCAAGUUUUGUAGGAAGUUAGUAAGUUUAUAUGUGUUUGGAACCUUAAAAAUUUGAUA